rnacentral:misc_RNA from 1 species
AACGCACCUUGCGCUCCUUGGUAUUCCGAGGAGCAUGCCUGUUUGAGUGUCAUGAAAUCUUCAACUUAUAAACCUUUGUGGCUUUAUAAGCUUGGACUUGGAGGCUUGUCGGCCUAGCGGUCGGCUCCUCUUAAAUGCAUUAGCUUGAUUCCUUGCGGAUCGGCUCUCGGUGUGAUAAUUGUCUACGUCGUGAGCGUGAAGCGUAUAUGGACGAGCUUCUAAUGGUCUCUUAAAGGAGACAAUACAUUGACAUCUGACCUCAAAUCAGGUAGGACUACCCGCUGAACUUAA